rnacentral:lncRNA from 1 species
AGAAUAAGGAUGCAACCUCUCAGCAACUUUUAUGUAUGUGUUUAUUCUAGAACACAAGAUUGUUCCUCCUUCUCCUGUAGACCAUUCAGAAUCAAGAUUGCUAAGUGCUUUGCCCAGGAAAAUAGACCCAAUGAAUGUGAAGGGCUGCACAUACCCAGUCUGGGAAGCUGCCAGAGAGACUCGCAGUUGGAGAAUACAUAAGUCCGUGGUUCCCAUGCAUUCUCCCCGCACACCAACCCCCUUAGAGGAACACUGAAAGUGUGUCCACAGCCCAAGGCUUUGUGGUCCUCAGGGAAGCUUCACAUGGAAAUGAGCAUGGAGGUUGUCAUAGUGGAAAAGAUACCUCAUCAAGGCACAUAUCUCCAAAUGGAAGAUGUGCAUUGUUUGUUGUGCCUGAUGAAUCGUGAUGCUGGUUUUUCAAUUCCACUCAUCAAUUAUUCGAAGAUUUUAGUUGAAAAUCACCCACCAGAUUUCCAUCUUCUCUGAUAUCAGUCAGUUGUUUGCACAACUCAAGUCAUC